GAGGGGCACUUGGCGAGGCCGUGGCCGGU
rnacentral:sRNA from 1 species